GGCGCGGUGGUAGAGCUGGUUCAUGCACCGGACUGCAAAUCCGGGGACACCGGUUCGAAUCCGGUCCGCGCCUCCA
rnacentral:tRNA from 1 species